rnacentral:rRNA from 1 species
CCUGCGGAGGGAUCAUUAUCGAGUUACCGCUCCUUAUAACCCUUUGUGAACAUACCCCAAACGUUGCCUCGGCGGGCAGCCGGAGCCCAGCUCCGUCGCCCGGAGCCGCCGUCUCGGCGCGCCCCACCCGCCGGCGGACCACCAAACUCUAUUUAAACGACGUCUCUUCUGAGUGGCACAAGCAAAUAAUCAAAACUUUUAACAACGGAUCUCUUGGUUCUGGCAUCGAUGAAGAACGCAGCGAAAUGCGAUAAGUAAUGUGAAUUGCAGAAUUCAGUGAAUCAUCGAAUCUUUGAACGCACAUUGCGCCCGCCAGCAUUCUGGCGGGCAUGCCUGUUCGAGCGUCAUUUCAACCCUCAAGCACCGCUUGGCGUUGGGGCCCUACGGCUUCCGUAGGCCCCGAAAUACAGUGGCGGACCCUCCCGGAGCCUCCUUUGCGUAGUAACAUACCACCUCGCACUGGGAUCCGGAGGGACUCCUGCCGUAAAACCCCCCAAUUUUCCAAAGGUUGACCUCGGAUCAGGUAGGAAUACCCGUUGAACUUAAGCAUAUCAAA